rnacentral:rRNA from 1 species
UGGGGAAUAUUGCACAAUGGAGGGAACUCUGAUGCAGCGACGCCGCGUGAACGAAGAAGGCUUUCGAGUCGUAAAGUUCUUUUAUAUGGGAAGAUAAUGACGGUACCAUAAGAAAAAGCCCCGGCUAACUACGUGCCAGCAGCCGCGGUAAUACGUAGGGGGCUAGCGUUGUCCGGAAUCACUGGGCGUAAAGGGUUCGCAGGCGGAAAUGCAAGUCAGGUGUAAAAGGCAGUAGCUUAACUACUGUAAGCAUUUGAAACUGCAUAUCUUGAGAAGAGUAGAAGUAAGUGGAAUUUUUAGUGUAGCGGUGAAAUGCGUAAAUAUUAAAAAGAAUACCGGUGGCGAAGGCGACUUACUGGGCUCAUUCUGACGCUGAGGAACGAAAGCGUGGGUAGCAAACAGG